rnacentral:rRNA from 1 species
UACGUAGGGUGCGAGCGUUUAAUCGGAAUUACUGGGCGUAAAGCGUGCGUAGGCGGUUCUCCAAGUCCGUUGUGAAAGCCCCGGGCUCAACCUGGGAAUGGCAGUGGAAACUAGGGGGACUGGAAUCUGGCAGAGGGGGGUGGAAUGCCGCGUGUAGCAGUGAAAUGCGUAGAGAUGCGGCGGAACACCGAUGGCGAAGGCAGCCCCCCUGGGCUGAGAUUGACGCUCAGGCACGAAAGCGUGGGGGAGCAAACAGG